rnacentral:rRNA from 1 species
CUUCUGAAUAAUACGUGGAAUUAAGUUAGUAUANCGCAUGAUAUGCAAAUGAAAGCUACGGCACUAAAGGAGAGCUUUGCGUCCUAUUAGCUAGUUGGUAAGGUAAGAGCUUACCAAGGCGAUGAUAGGUAGCCGGCCUGAGAGGGUGGACGGCCACAAGGGGGACUGAGAUACGGCCCUUACUCCUACGGGAGGCAGCAGCC